rnacentral:rRNA from 1 species
UGCAGUCGAACGCAGUAGCAAUACUGAGUGGCAGACGGGUGAGUAACAUGUGUGAAUCUGCCUUGUGGUUCAGGACAACAUUGGGAAACCGAUGCUAAUACUGGAUAAGCCCUUACGGGGAAAGUUUUAAUGCCAUAAGAUGAGCCCGCAUUUGAUUAGUUAGUUGGUGAGGUAAUGGCUCACCAAGACAAUGAUCAAUAGCUGAUCUGAGAGGAUGAUCAGCCACACUGGGACUGAGACACGGCCCAGACUCCUACGGGAGGCAGCAGUGGGGAAUCUUGCACAAUGGAGGAAACUCUGAUGCAGCGAUGCCGCGUGAGUGAAGAAGGCCUUUGGGUUGUAAAGCUCUUUUGUAGGGGAAGAUAAUGACUGUACCCUAAGAAUAAGGUCCGGCUAACUUCGUGCCAGCAGCCGCGGUAAUACGAAGGGACCUAGCGUAGUUCGGAAUUACUGGGCGUAAAGCGCGCGUAGGCCGUUGAGUUAGUUAAUUGUGAAAUCCCAAAGCUUAACUUUGGAACUGCAAUUAAAACUGCUCGACUAGAGUUUGAUAGAGGAAAGCGGAAUACAUAGUGUAGAGGUGAAAUUCGUAGAUAUUAUGUAGAACACCAGUUGCGAAGGCGGCUUUCUGGAUCAACACUGACGCUGAGGCGCGAAAGUAUGGGUAGCAAAGAGGAUUAGAUACCCUCGUAGUCCAUACCAUAAACGAUGAUUGCUAGAUGUUGGAAAUUUAUUUUCAGUAUCGCAGCUAACGCAUUAAGCAAUCCGCCUGGGGAGUACGACCGCAAGGUUAAAACUCAUAUGAAUUGACGGGGACCCGCACAAGCGGUGGAGCAUGUGGUUUAAUUCGAAGAUACGCGCAGAACCUUACCAACCCUUGACAUGUCUGUCGCGAGUUUAGGAGACUAGACUUUUCGGUUCGGCCGGACAGAACACAGGUGCUGCAUGGCUGUCGUCAGCUCGUGUCG